rnacentral:rRNA from 1 species
CAUGCAAGUCGAGCGGUAGAGAGAAGCUUGCUUCUCUUGAGAGCGGCGGACGGGUGAGUAAUGCCUAGGAAUCUGCCUAGUGGUGGGGGAUAACGUUCGGAAACGGACGCUAAUACCGCAUACGUCCUACGGGAGAAAGCGGGGGACCUUCGGGCCUCGCGCCAUUAGAUGAGCCUAGGUCGGAUUAGCUAGUUGGUGAGGUAAUGGCUCACCAAGGCUACGAUCCGUAACUGGUCUGAGAGGAUGAUCAGUCACACUGGAACUGAGACACGGUCCAGACUCCUACGGGAGGCAGCAGUGGGGAAUAUUGGACAAUGGGCGAAAGCCUGAUCCAGCCAUGCCGCGUGUGUGAAGAAGGUCUUCGGAUUGUAAAGCACUUUAAGUUGGGAGGAAGGGUAGUAACUUAAUACGUUGCUAUUUUGACGUUACCGACCGAAUAAGCACCGGCUAACUUCGUGCCAUCAGCCGCUGUAAAACGAAGGGUGCGUGCCUUUAUCGUAAUUACAGGUCGUAAAGCGCGCGUAG